rnacentral:rRNA from 1 species
GAGUCUAGCAUGUGCGCGAGUCAUUGGGACCGCACGAAACCUAAAGGCGAAAUGAAAGUGAAGGUCCGCCUCGCGCGGACCUAGGGAGGAUGGGCCCGCCCACGGGGGGCCCCGCACUCCCGGGGCGUCUCGUUCUCAUCGCGAGAGGAGGCGCACCCAGAGCGUACACGCUGGGACCCGAAAGAUGGUGAACUAUGCCUGGUCAGGACGAAGUCAGGGGAAACCCUGAUGGAGGUCCGUAGCGAUUCUGACGUGCAAAUCGAUCGUCGGAACUGGGUAUAGGGGCGAAAGACUAAUCGAACCAUCUAGUAGCUGGUUCCCUCCGAAGUUUCCCUCAGGAUAGCUGGCGCUCGCCGCGCGCGAGUCUCAUCCGGUAAAGCGAAUGAUUAGAGGCAUUGGGGUCGAAACGGCCUCAACCUAUUCUCAAACUUUAAAUGGGUGAGAUCUCCGGCUUGCUCGAACGCGUGAAGCCGCGAGAUUUCGGAUCAGAGUGCCAAGUGGGCCACUUUUGGUAAGCAGAACUGGCGCUGUGGGAUGAACCAAACGCAGAGUUAAAGCGCCCAAAUCGACGCUUAUGGGAUACCAUGAAAGGCGUUGGUAACUUAAGACAGCAGGACGGUGGCCAUGGAAGUCGGA